rnacentral:rRNA from 1 species
CCUACGGGUGGCAGCAGUGAGGAAUAUUGGUCAAUGGCCGGGAGGCUGAACCAGCCAAGCCGCGUGAGGGAGGAAGGCGCAGCGCGUCGUAGACCUCUUUUGUCGGGGGACAAAAGGCGGGACUCGUCCGGUUCUGAGGGUACCUGGAGAAAAAGCAUCGGCUAACUCCGUGCCAGCAGCCGCGGUAAUACGGAGGAUGCGAGCGUUAUCCGGAUUUAUUGGGUUUAAAGGGUGCGCAGGCGGGCCUUUAAGCCGGCGGUGAAAUCGGGGGGCUCAACCCCGCCGAGCCGUCGGAACUGGGAGCCUUGAGUGCAGCGGAGGCAGGCGGAAUGCGCGGUGUAGCGGUGAAAUGCUUAGAUAUCGCGCAGAACCCCGAUUGCGAAGGCAGCGUACCGUGCCGCCACUGACGCUGAGGCACGAAAGCGCGGGGAUCGAACAGGAUUAGAUACCCGGGUAGUC